UCAUGCGCAAGAUUAAACUUUUUAUGGACCAUGUCAGAUUUUUUAAAAGAGGUUAUGGCGUAACAAAGCGGUGACGAAGCGGUAACGAAGCGGUGGCACUAGUCAGUAUCAUGACAAUCGUGAUAUUGACAAAGAAAUUUUUAUCAAGGAUUACAGGUACGAUUAUUCAGGUUAAAAAAUCUGUUAGUCGUGCCGCAGCCGAGGACAAUCACUUCUCAACGGGAAGAAUGGCAACAAGGAUGCAAUAGACUGGAGAAGGAAAACACUAGAACAUAAACACAAACACGGCCAUACUUAUGCUCAAAAAUAAAACAACACUUAUAGCGUUUUCUCUUGGGAUACACUGAGUGCAGCCCUCGCAUUGCACCAGUUGCAUGUAAGCACUACACUCAGCUACACUAUACCAGAAUGGUAUACUACAUCAUUAUUGCGCUAAAAUAUAUUUCCGCUUGAUUUCCAUUUUCAAAUUUUAAAUGUCAUACUGGCUCUACACUAUCCCUUUGAGACGGUGUAGUAAAAUCCCACUUCACGCAUAAAAUUUGCACUACACCGUAGUCAUGGAAACACGGUACACCGAAUGAGUUCGCUUACCACCAGCCAUGGAAACACGGUAUACUGUCUGAGUGUUGCACUAGUGGGAGAUAGUGCAGCCAACAGAAAACGCUAUUAGAUCAUAGCAAGACGAGAUACGUUCGCCACUUCUGCCACGGUCGAACGAUUUCUCGAGACUGAGGACAAUCAUUUUGUCAUUAUCAUUUGCUAAAUUAAUAAAUACCAGCGUAUUAUUUCGUUUCUAUGUAAUUUCCUCAAAUAUUAAUAAUAUUAAACUGUCAGAGACAUGAAAUUAAGAAUGGUUAUAGUAGAAGUUCGGCCAUUUAUCGAUGCGGGGCUGUAACACACAAACAAUACCAAUAUUUGUGAAUGUGCAAGGAUUCACCGUCGAAAAAAGAUUUAUCGAUUUAUUAAACGAUAUAACUUGACGAAGUUCCAGAUCCUGAUGGGAGUCUAGCCGAGAAAGUAACUAAAAACUGGUUUUAAUAAAAGCUUCGAAAAGAAAGUUAGAUAUAGAAGAAUCUGAUACAUUAGAUUCAAAAUUCAAUUUAAAAGGUGAAAAAAGAUGUAUUAACAUCAAUUUAACAGAAGGCAAUAAACAUAAUCAUGAAAACAUUUCCGAUAAUACUACUGAACAACGAUUUAUUAAUCGUUUGUGCAAUGAACCCACAAAGAAUAUCGAAUUCAAUUGAUGAUGUGAAGAGUCCAGAAGAAAAUAUAUUGCUGUUCAAUUGUCAUCACGUACAAAUUAUGAUACACUAC